rnacentral:rRNA from 1 species
CGAUUACGGCUCAGUAACACGUAACUAAUCUACCCUUAAGUCAGGAUAACCUCGGGAAACUGAGGCUAAACCUGAUAGGAGAUUUACCCUGGAAUGAUUUAUCUCUUAAACUCGUGCUUAAGGAUGAGGUUGCGGCGGAUUAGGUUGUUGGCGGGGUAAAAGCCCACCAAGCCUGUGAUCUGUAAGGGCUCUUAGCGGAGAGGCCCUGAGAGGGAAUCUGAGACACUAUUCCCAGCCCUACGGGGUGCAGCAGUUAGGAAUAUUUUGCAAUGCGCGCAAGCGUGACAAAUUGAGCCAGAGUGCUUUUCUAUUUGAAAAGCUUUUGUGAAAUGUAAAAAGUUUUACGAAUAAGGACUGGGUAAGACUAGUGCCAGCCGCCGCGGUAAUACUAGCGGUCCAAGUCGCAGCCAUUUUUAUUGGGUCUAAAACAUCCGUAGCUUGCUUUGUAAGUUUCUUGUGAAAUUUUAUAUCUCAAAUAUAAAGCGUGCAAGAAGUACUGUAAAGCUAGAGACUGGUAGACGUAAGAAGUACGAAUAAAGUAGCGGUAAAAUG